UCCGGCUUAUCACCGGCAGUUUCUUUAGAGUGCCCAACUAAAUGAUGGCAACUAAAGACGAGGGUUUCGCUCGUUAAGGGACUUAACCCGACAUCUCACGACACGAGCUGACGACAGCCAUGCAGCACCUGUACCAGUUCCACCCCUUGCGGGGCGUACCCAACUUUCAUGGGGAUAAUCCUGGCAUGUCAAGCCCAGGUAAGGUUCUGCGCGUUGCUUCGAAUUGAACCACAUGCUCCACCGCUUGUGUGAGCCCCCGUCAAUUCCUUUGAGUUUUAGCCUUGCGACCGUACUUCCCAGGCGGUCGACUUAGCACUUUUGCUUCGACCGUGAAACCGUCAGAGGCUCCACGAUCUAGUCGACAUCGUUUACGGCCAGGACUA
rnacentral:misc_RNA from 1 species